CCUAAUGUGAUCAUAACUCUUAUUAUAUAUCUUAAACCAAAAAUGCUUAAUUAGUUUUAUGAUGGAUAUGAACAGAACAGUAGAGGAGCUUACUCGUCAGACUUCCUCUGUACCAGAUGAUGCAACAUGCAGGUUUUGAGUAUUAUUCAGAGAUUAGUUUGUGGAAGCGAGAUUGAAAAUGGUGUGGAAGCAAAAGACAAAAAACUAACCUUUCGUGGUGUACUUACUACAGUCGCUUUGUAAAGAGCUGUGGUUCCUGGAUAUACAGCUAAUACAUGUUUCCCUGGUAGAAACUCU
rnacentral:lncRNA from 1 species